rnacentral:rRNA from 1 species
UACUCGCGAAUGCUCUAGAUUAAAGUUUGAUCAUGGCUCAGACNUGAACGCUGGCGGCAGGCUUAACACAUGCAAGUCGAGCGGGGAAGGGUAGCUUGCUACCUGACCUAGCGGCGGACGGGUGAGUAAUGCUUAGGAAUCUGCCUGUUAGUGGGGGACAACAUCUCGAAAGGGAUGCUAAUACCGCAUACGUCCUACGGGAGAAAGCAGGGGAUCUUCGGACCUUGCGCUAAUAGAUGAGCCUAAGUCGGAUUAGCUAGUUGGUGGGGUAAAGGCCUACCAAGGCGACGAUCUGUAGCGGGUCUGAGAGGAUGAUCCGCCACACUGGGACUGAGACACGGCCCAGACUCCUACGGGAGGCAGCAGUGGGGAAUAUUGGACAAUGGGGGGAACCCUGAUCCAGCCAUGCCGCGUGUGUGAAGAAGGCCUUAUAGGUUGUAAAGCACUUUAAGCGAGGAGGAGGCUACUUUAGUUAAUACCUAGAGAUAGUGGACGUUACUCGCAGAAUAAGCACCGGCUAACUCUAGUGCCAGCAGCCGCGGUAAUAC